rnacentral:rRNA from 1 species
UACAGAGGUCCCAAGCGUUAUCCGGAUUUACUGGGCGUAAAGCGUGUGCAGGCGGUUCGGCAAGUUGGAUGUGAAAUCUCCCGGCUCAACUGGGAGGGGUCGUUCAAUACUACCGAACUUGAGGGCAUCAGAGGAAGGUGGAAUUCCCGGAGUAGUGGUGAAAUGCGUAGAUAUCGGGAGGAACACCAGUGGCGAAGGCGGCCUUCUGGGAUGUUUCUGACGCUCAUACACGAAAGCGUGGGGAGCAAACAGG